GACGAACGCUGGCGGCGUGCUUAACACAUGCAAGUCGAACGGAAAGGCCCUGCUUUGGUGGGGUGCUCGAGGUGCGAACGGGUGAGUAACACGUGAGUAACCUGUCCUUGACUUUGGGAUAACUUCAUGAAACUGGGGCUAAUACCGGAUAGGAUCUCCUGCUGCAUGGUGGGGGUUGGAAAGUUUCGGCGGUUGGUGAUGGACUGGCGGCUUAUCAGCUUGUUGGUGGGGUAGUGGAUUACCAAGGCUUUGACGGGUAGCCGGGCUGAGAGGGUGACCGGCCACAUUGGGACUGAGCUACGGCACAGCCUCCUACGGGAGGCAGCAGUGCGGAAUAUUGCACAAUGGGAGGAAGCCUGAUGCAGCAACGCAGCGCGCGGGAUGACGGCAUUCGGGUUGUAAACCGCUUUCGCUUGUGACGAAGCGUGAGUGACGGUAAUGGGUAAAGAAGCACCGGCUAACUACGUG
rnacentral:rRNA from 1 species